CGUCCACAGUAGGAGCUAAUUCAGCUCCAGCAGCCCAGCCGAGGUUUGGCAUUGUGGCCAAGGCAGAGAACAAUGGGGCAGUGUGAUCCUGACAGCUUCCUCACAACUGCGAGACAGAGACCACCGGCGGCUCCUUUCUCUCCUCUCUCAAAAGGGAGCCCGGGGAGGCUGCGCGCACCCCACGCGGCCAAGACGACUGUGACUCGUUUGCCUCAGACAGCCAGAACCCGGGCAGCGGAACUCAAACGAAGACUGCCACAAGAGACUAAGAAGGGCCAUCUUCCUAAAUUGCCUUGCUUCAUCCCGGCCAGAAGGACAGAAGCAGCGGCAUCUCCAGCUUUCUGCAACCCGGGCAGACUGUCCUUGUGACCACAACUCUGGCUUCACCUGUGACCGAUGGACUUAGCACAGUACUCUGCAUACAGUAAACACUCAAUAAUCCCACUGAUGGAUUGACCGAUUGACUCUGAGCCAUGAAAAGCCCCAAACUCUACUCUUCUAGCCACCGGAUGGCUUUUUGAUGUUUUUUGGAUAUUUAUCCUCGGCCUUAUUUUUCAUGUUGUUUGUGUGCUCUUACUGUUUUCUCUUUCCUUAUGUGUCCAUCAUUAGGCCCGUUGCUUCCUUAAUCAGUCAAACAAUGCUAGUUAUUGAUCA